rnacentral:rRNA from 1 species
GACGAACGCUGGCGGCGUGCUUAACACAUGCAAGUCGAACGGAAAGGCCCUGCUUUUGUGGGGUGCUCGAGUGGCGAACGGGUGAGUAACACGUGAGUAACCUGCCCUUGACUUUGGGAUAACUUCAGGAAACUGGGGCUAAUACCGGAUAGGAGCUCCUGCUGCAUGGUGGGGGUUGGAAAGUUUCGGCGGUUGGGGAUGGACUCGCGGCUUAUCAGCUUGUUGGUGGGGUAGUGGCUUACCAAGGCUUUGACGGGUAGCCGGCCUGAGAGGGUGACCGGCCACAUUGGGACUGAGAUACGGCCCAGACUCCUACGGGAGGCAGCGGGGGGGAAUAUUGCACAAUGGGCGGAAGCCUGAUGCAGCAACGCCGCGUGCGGGAUGACGGCCUUCGGGUUGUAAACCGCUUUCGCCUGUGACGAAGCGUGAGUGACGGUAAUGGGUAAAGAAGCACCGGCUAACUACGUG